rnacentral:tRNA from 1 species
GGUUCCAUGGUGUAAUUGUUAGCACCCAAGACUUUGAGUCUUGCGAUUCGAGUUCAAAUCUCGGUGGAAACU